rnacentral:rRNA from 1 species
GCGUAGGUAACCUGCCUGGUAGCGGGGGAUAACUAUUGGAAACGAUAGCUAAUACCGCAUAAUAUCUUUGAUUGCAUGAUUGAAGUUUGAAAGAUGCAACUGCAUCACUACCAGAUGGACCUGCGUUGUAUUAGCUAGUAGGUGAGGUAAAGGCUCACCUAGGCGACGAUACAUAGCCGACCUGAGAGGGUGAACGGCCACACUGGGACUGAGACACGGCCCAGACUCCUACGGGAGGCAGCAGUAGGGAAUCUUCGGCAAUGGGGGCAACCCUGACCGAGCAACGCCGCGUGAGUGAAGAAGGUUUUCGGAUCGUAAAGCUCUGUUGUAAGAGAAGAACGUGUGUGAGAGUGGAAAGUUCACACAGUGACGGUAACUUACCAGAAAGGGACGGCUAACUACGUGCCAGCAGCCGCGGUAAUACGUAGGUCCCGAGCGUUAUCCGGAUUUAUUGGGCGUAAGGCGAGCGCAGGCGGUUGGAUAAGUCUGAAGUUAAAGGCUGUGGCUCAACCAUAGUAUGCUUUGGAAACUGUUCAACUUGAGUGCAGAAGGGGAGAGUGGAAUUCCAUGUGUAGCGGUGGAAUGCGUAGAUAUAUGGAGGAACACCGGUGGCGAAAGCGGCUCUCUGGUCUGUAACUGACGCUGAGGCUCGAAAGCGUGGGUAGCGAACAGGAUUAGAUACCCUGGUAGUCCACGCCGUAAACGAUGAGUGCUAGGUGUUAGGCCCUAUCCGGGGCUUAGUGCCGCAGCUAACGCAU